rnacentral:rRNA from 1 species
UCCUACGGGAUGCAGCAGUGGGGAAUAUUGCACAAUGGGCGCAAGCCUGAUGCAGCCAUGCCGCGUGUAUGAAGAAGGCCUUCGGGUUGUAAAGUACUUUCAGCGAGGAGGAAGGCAAUAAGGUUAAUAACCUUGUUGAUGACGAU